rnacentral:lncRNA from 1 species
AUGCAUUCCUUCCAGUAUCUGUGGUUUGCCUACCCUGGUAAGACGUUAUGUCCCAUCUUGAGGAUAAGAAGGAUCCCAUUCAAUGAGGAUGUUUUUGCUACCAGAGUGAAAAGGACGAACAGUAAUGACAAAGACAUAACAGAAUUACAAGAACAAAUUCACAAACUUCUCUUGCA